rnacentral:lncRNA from 1 species
GGAAAUAUACUAUUACAAAAUAAAAUCGUUAGCACUAAUUGGAUAAAUAAAUCGCGUGUAAAUAAAUGAAAUAGUAGCUGUGUCGUGGAAGAAUCAUUGCCUUAGAAGCAAAUUCAUCCUGAUAGAUGUAAUUGUAUAGUGGACGUUGCCCCCCAAGGUUAACAUAAUAUUUCAAUAUUCGUACACCCAAAUAAAAAAGAUGGAACAAAUUUGGUGUUGCUCUUGUCAAAUAAAUAGAAAACUAAUCGGAAAUAUAUUGAAAAGAAACGGGUGAGCUAUGAGAGAAAAGAUAGGUUGUUG